AAAAGGCGGGAGAAGCCCCA
rnacentral:miRNA from 1 species